rnacentral:rRNA from 1 species
AGUGAACGCUGGCGGUAGGCCUAACACAUGCAAGUCGAACGGCAGCACAGUAAGAGCUUGCUCUUACGGGUGGCGAGUGGCGGACGGGUGAGGAAUACAUCGGAAUCUACUUUUUCGUGGGGGAUAACGUAGGGAAACUUACGCUAAUACCGCAUACGACCUACGGGUGAAAGCAGGGGAUCUUCGGACCUUGCGCGAUUGAAUGAGCCGAUGUCGGAUUAGCUAGUUGGCGGGGUAAAGGCCCACCAAGGCGACGAUCCGUAGCUGGUCUGAGAGAAUGAUCAGCCACACUGGAACUGAGACACGGUCCAGACUCCUACGGGAGGCAGCAGUGGGGAAUAUUGGACAAAGGGCGCAAGCCUGAUCCAGCCAUACCGCGUGGGUGAAGAAGGCCUUCGGGUUGUAAAGCCCUUUUGUUGGGAAAGAAAAGCAGCAGGUUAAUACCCCGCUGUUCUGACGGUACCCAAAGAAUAAGCACCGGCUAACUUCGUG